CUCCCUCAAAGAUGAUGAGCAGGGCACACCGAUCUUCCUCAUGUUGAUACGCCCAUGGCAUCGUCCUCCCUCAAAGAUGAUGAGCAGGGCACACCGAUCUUCCUCAUGUUGAUACGCCCAUGGCAUCGUCCUCCCUCAAAGAUGAUGAGCAGGGCACACCGAUCUUCCUCAUGUUGAUAUGCCCAUGGCAUCGUCCUCCCUCAAAGAUGAUGAGCAGGGCACACCGAUCUUCCUCAUGUUGAUAUGCCCAUGGCAUCGUCC